rnacentral:rRNA from 1 species
UACGAAGGGGGCUAGCGUUGCUCGGAUUUACUGGGCGUAAAGCGCACGUAGGCGGAUCGUUAAGUCGGGGGUGAAAUCCUGGAGCUCAACUCCAGAACUGCCUUCGAUACUGGCGAUCUUGAGUCCGGAAGAGGUGAGUGGAACUCCUGGUGUAGAGGUGGAAUUCGUAGAUAUUAGGAAGAACACCAGUGGCGAAGGCGGCUCACUGGUCCGGUACUGACGCUGAGGUGCGAAAGCGUGGGGAGCAAACAGG